rnacentral:rRNA from 1 species
CUGCCGGUGACAAACCGGAGGAAGGUGGGGAUGACGUCAAGUCAUCAUGGGCCCUUACGGCCUGGGCUACACACGUGCUACAAUGGUCGGUACAAAGGGUUGCCAAGCCGCGAGGUGGAGCUAAUCCCAUAAAACCGAUCGUAGUCCGGAUCGCAGUCUGCAACUCGACUGCGUGAAGUCGGAAUCGCUAGUAAUCGUGAAUCAAGAAUGUCACGGUGAAUACGUUCCCGGGCCUU